rnacentral:rRNA from 1 species
UACGGAAGGGGGCUAGCGUUGUUCGGAAUUACUGGGCGUAAAGGGCGCGUAGGCGGUACUUCAAGUCAGGCGUGAAAGCCCCGGGCUCAACCUGGGAACCGCGCUUGAGACUGGAGAACUAGAGUUCGGGAGAGGAUGGUGGAAUUCCCAGUGUAGAGGUGAAAUUCGUAGAUAUUGGGAAGAACACCGAUGGCGAAGGCAGCCAUCUGGACCCGACGACUGACGCUGGAGGC